UCAGGACGAACGCUGGCGGCGUGCUUAACACAUGCAAGUCGAACGAUGAACCUGGAGCUUGCUCUAGGGGAUUAGUGGCGAACGGGUGAGUAACACGUGAGUAACCUGCCCUUGACUCUGGGAUAACCUCCGGAAACGGAAGCUAAUACCGGAUACGACGUACGGAGGCAUCUCCUGUACGUGGAAAGAACUUCGGUCAAGGAUGGACUCGCGGCCUAUCAGGUAGUUGGUGAGGUAACGGCUCACCAAGCCUACGACGGGUAGCCGGCCUGAGAGGGUGACCGGCCACACUGGGACUGAGACACGGCCCAGACUCCUACGGGAGGCAGCAGUGGGGAAUAUUGCACAAUGGGCGCAAGCCUGAUGCAGCAACGCCGCGUGAGGGAUGACGGCCUUCGGGUUGUAAACCUCUUUUAGUAGGGAAGAAGCGAAAGUGACGGUACCUGCAGAAAAAG
rnacentral:rRNA from 1 species